CGACAUGAAGAGAGAGGGGGCCGGCGCCCCCUCUUGGAAAGUUGUCAAGGCUCCUAACUUGUAGGAGCCCUUCAUCCUUAUUAAAGGAGGACUAGGGCCGGCGCCCUAGAUGGACCUUUCUCCUCUUCAUCACGUGGCCACCCCCUCUCCAUCUCUCCUUGGUUCAGCCGCCAUCAGCAAGGGGAAAAGAAGAGGAGGCGUCUCCCUCCUCUUGGUCUUCUUCCUUGGCUUCAGCGCGUGUGAAGAGAAGAAAGCUGCAAAGGGAUUUGAUCUUCUUCCUCUUCUUCAUCCUUCUUCUUCCUCCUCUCAAGUGCAAUCAAG
rnacentral:lncRNA from 1 species